GGUCUCCGAAGGUCUUAAGGAAGGUGAGGGCGCGGGGAGGGGAAGGGCCCUUCUCCGCCCCUCCCGGGGUCUGGGCAGCUGCUCCGGGAUUCCUCCUUCCUCCGGGUCACCCGCUGCGCCCCUUCCCACCCCCCACUCUGUCCUGGAAAGGCCGGGAGCUGGCUCCCUUCUAGGAGGUGGCUCAGCAAGGCCUGACCUGGGGGCGCGGGGUCAGUGCCUGGCUGAGCAGAAGCCCCUCCAGCCCAGCCCCGCCCCUUCCAAAGGCUCCGGGCACAAGGCACCUGUCACCCCAGGUCCCCAGGGCAGCCCCUGGCCCGGGACGCAGGGUCCCUCACCUCCUCUUGGAGGCCUUUGGGGCCUCUCCCCCUUGGGGGUGAAGAGAUCCUGACUCCCUCAAUCCUGCCUCGGGUACCUCCCUCCAGGCACCUGGCCCUGAGCUGCCCCCUGGGGUCCUUGGAUCCUGAUGUAAAGGCAGCUCCGGAGAGCCCCCUGCCCAACCUCGCCGCUCCUCUCCCACUGACCCAAUCUGCUCCGGGACCCCCUGAGGAGGCGCUCUGGGAACCCCAGGCGCAGACAGUUCCUCCGUUGCUCCUGAAGGGAAGGAAUUACAGAUAAAUAAACAAAAUCGGACCUUAGAAUGAAAAGAAACUUGCCAGCAGAGAGGGGAAUUGAAUGAUCUAUAAAUUAGACCGUGAUUUAUAUUUCACUGACACAAACUAUCCAUCAGCUGAAUGACUUUUAAAUCAAUGCUAUAACGCGUAAAAUGGCACAGCUUCAAUAUCGGUCCCCAACUUCAUAAAUCAAAGGAGCAAGAUGGGAUCAGAUGGUGACCACCCUUGUCAACCACUCAAAUCAUAAAUUACAUUCUCAGACGGCUCCCGCUGUGGGUCGAGGGUGGCAUCUUCGAGCACGGGAAGCCACGGAGGCAGGCGAGCCCUUCUUGUCACCACGGCCACCCCGCUUGUUCUCCGGGGAAGCCCGCAGCCCCAACACGCCUUCUGCCUGGCCGGGGACGUCAAUGGAAGGCCGCGGCAGGAAAUGGAUUUCCAUCACGCUAUUGAGAAUGGUAAAGGUAGGUAUGGUUACCGUACCCCCUGAAGAUGUUGAUUUGGAGCUGCCGGCCAGGCUGUCCACUUGCUGUGUCCAUUGAGUCCAGAAGUCUGGGUCAGUGGACCUGGCCUACAGCUCGGCACCGUUGGCCAAGUCACCCAACCCGUCCAAGCCACAAGUUCCUCGUCAUCAGAGAGGGCUGGUGAUUUGUGUCUUACAAACAGGUGAGAAUAAAAUGGAAUACAAGUAGACAGGUGCUCAGGAUGGAGCUUUGCAUGUUACUGCCCUCAGGUCAAUAAUAAUGCGCACCUGUACCCGGGGGGGGGGGGAGCCGGAGGGGGGGCGCAGAGGCAGAGACUCCCAUGAUUCCCACACACAUCCACUCGGCUCAGUAAUAAUGUACACCUGUCCCCGGGGGAGGGGGGAGAGGCAGAGACAGAAAGAGGGAGAGAAGGGACCUGCUCGCUGAGCGUUUUGUGUUGUUUUCCUCGAACACGAAUUGAAUUCUGAGAAAUAUUUUUGUUUAAUUUUUUUGCACUAGUAAGAUAAUCAUAAGGUAUUCCCUUUAUUUGGUCAAGUUGGUGAGUUAUAUUGAUUAAUGGCAUAAACCCUACUUUGGUUCCGACAUGUUGUCAUUUCUAUAUUUUGCUAUAAUUGGAUUUGCAAUAAUUGUUCAGAAUUUGGGGCCUAUGUCCGUGAGUGAAAUUGGUUUCUGAUUCUCGCUUCUGAUAAUGUUCUUAGCAACUUGGUACCAGAGUGGCACUACCUUCGUCGUACAAUUUAGGAAGUGCUCUGGAUCCUUAGCUCUCCAAAGGCACGUGCGUAAGAUCGGCAUCCUGUAUUUAUUAGAUAUUUGGAAGAAAUCACUAAAGUCAGUUGGCCUUACAUUCUCCGGGUGUAAAAUAUUAAGUUGCAUAUUUUAUUAACAGAUUAGAACUAUUCAUGUUUCCUAUUUGUCCUCAUGUAACUUCUGACAGUUGGUGUUUUUCAAGAUAUUUUUUCCUUUCAUCUCUACUCUAUAGAAUGUAUUGACAUAAAAUUGUCGAUAAUAUCUUACUAUCUUUUUAACGACUAAAUCUAUUGCACUGUUCCCUUUUUCAUUCUUAAUCAUGGUGUUUCGUGUUCUCUCUCCAUUCAUUUUGUUUUCAGUGGCUAUGUUAGUGUUAGCAAUUUUAUUAAUAUGUGUAAAGAGGUAAUUUUCGGGUUUGUUAAGUUUUUCUAUUGUGUAAAUAUUUUAAAAUUUCAUUGAUUUUUCCUUUGGUCUUCAUUAUAUCCUUUCUUUUGCUCUCUAUGGAUUUAUUAUCUUAUCCUUUUCCUAGUUUCCUGAGAUGGAAGUUUAUACUGUUGAAUAUCUACUCUUUUUUUUUUUCCAAGAUAUGCAUUUGGAGCUAGGAAUUUCUUAGCUGUUCUCCACAGGUUUUUUAUGUCUUAUUUCUGUUAUCAUUCUGUUCAAAAUGCUUUCUAAUAUUUUUACUUUGUUAUUAACUUCAUUAUUCAUUAUAUUAAUCACUUUAUUAUUAAUAGUAAUGAAAUAUUUAGAAGUAUGUGGCUUAAUUUCCACAUUUUAGGGAAUUUUUAAUUAUCUCUGAGUUUUUACUUCAAUUCCAGAUGGUCAGAGAAUAAACUCUGGUAUAUUUUCAGUUACUUGAAUAUGGUCUGUUUCAAUAAAUGUUUCUUUUGGACUUAAAAAGAAUGUGUGCUCUGCAGUGGUUAAGGGCAAUGUUCUACAUAAGUCAGUUGGGCCAACUUAGUUCAUUAUGCUGUUGAGAUCUUCUCUAAUUUUAGUGAGUUUUUGUCUCUUUGUUACUGAGAAGUGUGUUAAAAUCUCCAAAGUGAUUGUGAUUUGCCUCUUUUCCUUUUAGUCCUGUCAGCUUCAGCUUUCUCUAUUUUGAUGUUGUAUUAUUAGGUGCAUACAAGUUUAAGAUCAUUGUGUCUUUGUAUAGAAUUGACUUUUCUACCAUAGUGAAAUAUUCCUUUUCAUAGCUAUAA